GGGAAAGUGGCUCAGUGGUAGAGCGCUUGCCUAGCAUGCAUGAAGCCCUGGGUUCGAUUCCUCAGUACCA
rnacentral:tRNA from 1 species